GAUGAACGCUGGCGGCGUGCCUAAUACAUGCAAGUCGAGCGAACGGACGAGAAGCUUGCUUUUCUGAUGUUAGCGGCGGACGGGUGAGUAACACGUGGAUAACCUACCUAUAAGACUGGGAUAACUUCGGGAAACCGGAGCUAAUACCGGAUAAUAUUUUGAACCGCAUGGUUCAUAAGUGAAAGACGGUCUUGCUGUCACUUAUAGAUGGAUCCGCGCUGCAUUAGCUAGUUGGUAAGGUAACGGCUUACCAAGGCAACGAUGCAUAGCCGACCUGAGAGGGUGAUCGGCCACACUGGAACUGAGACACGGUCCAGACUCCUACGGGAGGCAGCAGUAGGGAAUCUUCCGCAAUGGGCGAAAGCCUGACGGAGCAACGCCGAGUGAGUGAUGAAGGUCUUCGGAUCGUAAAACUCUGUUAUUAGGGAAGAACAUAUGUGUAAGUAACUGUGCACAUCUUGACGGUACCUAAUCAGAAAGCCACGGCUAACUACGUG
rnacentral:rRNA from 1 species